rnacentral:SRP_RNA from 1 species
CCGUGCUAGGUGGGGAGGUAGCGGUGCCCUGCACCCGCAAUCCGCUGUAGCGGGGCUGAAUUCCCAUCCGAGGAGCGGGUUUGUAGGGUCUGAGGCCGGCAAGUGGUGUUGAGAGCCGGGUCCUACGCAAUGGGAAUCCGUGAACCGGGUCAGGACCGGGAGGUAGCAGCCCUAAGCGGACACUCUCAUGUGCCGUGGGGUAGCCCGGAAGGAGCAGUCUACCGGUCGGCGCCUGGAAGCUCGUAUUCGACGGUGGGUGCACGG